rnacentral:tRNA from 1 species
GGAGAGGUAAGCUAAGGUAAGCUAACAGGUUCAUACCCUGUCUAUGGAGAAUACUCCCCUCUCUA